rnacentral:rRNA from 1 species
GCGAGCGGCGGAUGGGUGAGUAACACGUGGGGAACCUGCCCCUAAGUCUGGGAUACCAUUUGGAAACAGGUGCUAAUACCGGAUAAUAAAGCAGAUCGCAUGAAUCAGCUUUUGAAAGGCGGCGUAAGCUGUCGCUAAGGGAUGGCCCCGCGGUGCAUUAGCUAGUUGGUAAGGUAACGGCUUACCAAGGCGACGAUGCAUAGCCGAGUUGAGAGACUGAUCGGCCGCAUUGGGACUGAGACACGGCCCAAACUCCUACGGGAGGCAGCAGUAGGGAAUCUUCCACAAUGGACGCAAGUCUGAUGGAGCAACGCCGCGUGAGUGAAGAAGGUUUUCGGAUCGUAAAGCUCUGUUGUUGGUGAAGAAGGAUAGAGGUAGUAACUGGCCUUUAUUUGACGGUAAUCAACCAGAAAGUCACGGCUAACUACGUGCCAGCAGCCGCGGUAAUACGUAGGUGGCAAGCGUUGUCCGGAUUUAUUGGGCGUAAAGCGAGCGCAGGCGGAAAAAUAAGUCUAAUGUGAAAGCCCUCGGCUUAACCGAGGAACUGCAUCGGAAACUGUUUUUCUUGAGUGCAGAAGAGGAGAGUGGAACUCCAUGUGUAGCGGUGGAAUGCGUAGAUAUAUGGAAGAACACCAGUGGCGAAGGCGGCUCUCUGGUCUGCAACUGACGCUGAGGCUCGAAAGCCAUGGGUAGCGAACAGGAUUAGAUACCCUGGUAGUCCAUGCCGUAAACGAUGAGUGCUAAGUGUUGGGAAGGUUUCCGCCU